UGCUAAAAAAGAUGAAUGAGCCAACGAUGUUUUGAAUCUGAUACAUACUAAUGUAUUAGAUCUACGAACAUAUUUGCCAUAAAUUUGGAUUAUUUGAAAUGUUCAAAUAAUUUCAUAAUAAGGUAGAGAAAUAAAUUAGGAAGAGCAUUGAAACUCUUCGAUCAAACCAAAGGGGAGAAUGCCCUUCUGGUGAGUUUUUGACAUAUCUAAAAAGGAAUAGAAUUUUCUCUUAUUAGAAUUGACUUUGUUAGACAAUUUGAUCCAUGAUG
rnacentral:lncRNA from 1 species